UAUAAAAUAGAGCUUUCAAUUUAACAGUGAUAAGCGAAAUUUUAUUGAUUUGAUUUUUUAAUCACUUAAUUCAGGUAAACUAACUCAGUAUUUUUCUUUUUCUUUUUCUUUUUUUUUUUGAGGAAGAUUAGCCCUGAGCUAACUGCUGCCAAUCCUCCUCUUUUUACUGAAGAAGACUGGCCCUGAGCUAACAUCCGUGCCCAUCUUCCUCCACUUUAUACAUGGGACGCCUACCACAGCAUGGCUUGCCAAGCGGUGCCAUGUCUGCACCCGGAAUCCUGAAUGGCGAACCCCUGGCCGCUGAAGCAGAACAUUCGCACUUAACCACUGUGCCACCGGGCUGGCCCCUAACUCUGUAUUUUUCAAUGUGGCCCUUAAACCAACUACAUGAGCUACAUGACCUGAUUCCCUGGGUCCAGGACAGCACUACUGAAACAGUCUCAGAUAGCUGUGACUACAUUUAAGAAUGAGAAGAAAUGCCUUACCUGACAUUGAUGAUGAUGAUGACUAAUUGUACUGCAACUUUCAUCCCUGAGAAGCAUCCUUUGAAGACUGUUCUAAAGUGAAUGUGAAUCCAGUGGGAGCUGUGCUGUCACUUAGGUUUAGUCGAUGGCACCUGACCUGAUGGAAUAAACAUGCUAAGGUUGCCUGUAACUGGUUCCGA
rnacentral:lncRNA from 1 species